rnacentral:rRNA from 1 species
AUUGAACGCUGGCGGCAGGCCUAACACAUGCAAGUCGAGCGGUAACAGGUGUAGCAAUACAUGCUGACGAGCGGCGAACGGGUGAGUAAUGCUUCGGAAUCUGCCCAAUGGUGGGGAAUAACCAGCCGAAAGGUUGGCUAAUACCGCAUACGUCCUACGGGAGAAAGCAGGGGAUCGUAAGACCUUGCGCCGAUGGAUGAGCCGAAGCCGGAUUAGCUAGUUGGUAGGGUAACGGCCUACCAAGGCGACGAUCCGUAGCUGGUCUGAGAGGACGACCAGCCACACUGGGACUGAGACACGGCCCAGACUCCUACGGGAGGCAGCAGUGGGGAAUAUUGGACAAUGGGGGAAACCCUGAUCCAGCGACGCCGCGUGUGUGAAGAAGGCCUGCGGGUUGUAAAGCACUUUUAGUGGGGAUGAAAAGCUCAGGGCUAAUACCUCUGGGUCUUGACCUAACCCACAGAAAAAGCACCGGCUAACUCUGUGCCAGCCGCCGCGGUAAUAC